AAGCAAAGCGGUAUUGCUGAACUGUAGCGGGGCUGAAUACCUGCAAACUUCUCCCGUGUCCCUAUCAGAUGAAUAGCUCACUUAUUAACCUAGAGCUGCCUACAGCAGAGCCCGUUCCUUUCUCAAUGAUCUUCUCCCUGCUGUGGGCUCUGUUUGCCCGUGGCAGUGCCGCUCUGCUAGGACGUGGCCACUGGUGCAAAUCAGAGCAAAACCUGGAAUCAAAAUCCUUCCCAGUGCUCCAGCCAAACACAAGCAGCUCCCGCCGUGAACCUCUGGAGAUGCCGCCCAACUGCAGCAGGAGGUGAGGACAUUUUCCAUGGGAAGACUGCGGGAAGCCAACAGCCUCACAGUGGGGCACUCACAGGGCGCAUCAGCCAAGAAGUGAUCCUUCCCUCCCUGGUCCCAGUUGUCCACAAGCAGCAAUGAGCAAGUGUGAAUGGGGCACUGCAAAAAGCUGGUGGAAAGGUGAUUAAAAAUAGUCCCGCGAUGAGCACCUAUGGGGGCUGUCACAGUGCCAUUGGUGGGGAGCAUCAGCCAGAGGAAAGCAGGACAGAGGCACAACCUCCUCAAGGCUUCAGCUCUGCAGUAAUCUCCUGCUGUGCCUCAGUUUCCCCUCAGCAGGGAUCGCACCACCCAAGGACAGGACAUCACUCAUUGCUUUUGAUGCCUGCUGUCUGGAUGGAUGUAGAAUCCUGCAAAUAUUAAGUUGGAAAAGACCACUAAGAUCAUCUCGUCCAAUUAUCAACACAUCAGCAGCACUCACGGAAACUGCUUGUGCCAUCAGCAUCAGUACCUGAGUCCUUACACCACCCUGGCUGGGUUCUCCUGCUCAUCCAAAGGUGCCCCAGAGAAGAUGUGACCUGGAGCUGAAGACAUGCUCAUUUUGGAUACAUCACUUUGCAAACAAAAGAUUGCAGCAUCAUCCUCUUCUGUUCUUAAGGGCAAUACUGACUGAUGUGUGAUUUCCGUAGUGGAAGUGGAAUAGAUUUUUGUCCCGAUGGCUGAAAUCACUGCACUUCUCUCCUGUUUUUGUAGCUUAUUUACAGUGAGUUGUUGCUUGCCCAGGUUUUGCCCCAUGUAAAUUACCUGCACAUACUCUCUGCCAGAUCUUUUGGCUAUUCUUGGAUCCCUCCUCUGCAGACCUCGAGGGCUUUAGUCUUCGAGCUGCAGCUUUCUUUUAUUACUUCAGAAAUUAGGAAGAUGUCUUCUUUGGUGGAAGGCAUCUGCUUAGUGUCUGAUGCAUUUAGGAUACUCAUUAAAGGGAUAUUUUCCCCCUUAUCUCAUGCCUAAUCUCUGGAGGAGGACGCUGAUUGCUUUGGCUGCGUGCUGUCACUCCUUGCUGGGAUCCUGUGGUGGCACAAGCAGUGUCCCCAUGUCCCUGCACAGCCCUGCGGGUAACCUCAGAACAGAGCUGGCCAAUACCGUGCCUGGAAGCUCCCUCAAUAUUUCAAUAUUUGAUUUUGCUCUUCUGUUCAGCCUUUUAAUGUGGUUCUGCUUAUUUUUACAGGUUUCCCAAUCUGCCCCCUCCCCAGAUUGUUUAUAUUUUUGGAAAGCCUUCUGUUUAGUGCCUGUAAUACCCCUGACGUCCUUUUGCUGCAGUGGGCUUCCAUUACCAGCAUCUCCGCUGAGACUUAACUGGGAUUUGUUUCUAUACUAAUCUCUCAAACUGUUUAUUAAACCCCCUCCUGAUUUAUCUGCAAAAGAUUUCCUUGAAGUUAUAAAAUCUCAAUCAAAAUUCCUCUGGGCAUUGCACAUUCCCUCUUACGACCACUAAAUCCUGUUUGUUCUUGCCAUGACCCACUUGGCUCAUGGUUGGAGACAUAGCACCCGAAUGUGCCCAGCAUCACAGGGGCAGCUUUGCAGUCUUUCUGCAAUGAGGGCUAGUUGCCCCAAAGCCUCUUUCUAGAACUGCUCCUCUAAAACCAUUUUUUUCCUUUUGAGUUUCAACCCUAGCAGUCAGCAUGGCUUUCCUGUUAGCAAGUGCGAGUUUUCCUUGUUGUCCCAUCACCUUGCACCCAGUGUUGAGCUCAUAACCUGCUAAAUAAUUCCUCUUCCACCUUGGUGUUUACAUUCUUCAGAUAUUUUCACCGCUUUUCACGUCCCAACUCAUUUGUCCCUUGUCUGGGCUAUACCCUGCCCCUUUCAUCUUUGCACAUCAGAGCCGCUUCCUCCAGCCUGACAGCAGCACCACUGGGCAGGUUCCUUUCCCCAAACUGGACUCAUCCAUUUGUCCGUCCAUCCAUCCAUCCAUCCAUCCAUCCAUCCCAGACCUGUCAGGAUGAAUGUGGCCCCAAGGACUGGCCCAUGCCUUUUGCCUGGAUGCCCCUCAUCCAGCAGCUUGCCCACCCUGCCCUCUCCUUUUGGUGUGAAUCAGACCAGGUAUCAUCCAGUACCUGGUCCUCACUCUGCAGAGAGCAAGAGAAUACAACACACAGCAAAGCUCCAUUCUUGACCCAACUGCUGUUGCCUAUUUCCCACUGCAGCUCUUCCUCGCACCCAGGGCAGCUUUUGGCCAGAGAUUAGGACAGAAAAUAUGGCAGUGUUCUGGGAAAAAAAAAAGUCACUGGAGUUUGGCCCAAUGAACAGAUUAUGGGGUCUAUUUAAAGGAGGAGAAAACUCUUUUCUGGCCUCCUGCAUGCACAAUAAUGGCAUGCCAGAGGUUCAACUCCUUCCAAGGGCUUUACCCUUUGGUGUCAUUUGGUUGCAUAUUUGCUAUAGCAAGGAGAUGGUAGUAAUUGGAAUAAUACAGCUACGUAGGGAAAAAACCUUGUUAGUUUAGCACUCUAUUUCCCUGCAGUGCAGCUCCUGCCUAAAGCCAUCCAAAGAAAACAGUUCACCUAACAUAUGCUAGGCACUUCAAAGAGAAAAUUAAAAGGGACAAAGCCAAUGUGAGAGGAUGAAGAAUCCCAGAGGAGCUUUAUCAGGAUCCCAUUCAGUGUUUCCCAUGUUUUAGUGGAAAAAAAGCCCAGCAAUAACAAAAAAGACCCGGGCGUGCAAGCCUCGGUGACUGAUAGAGGAUUUUCCCUUGGCUAGACACAGAGCCUUCAAAAAAACUGCAGCAGAGUGUGGGAUCAUUAAACACCUUCGGAUUCCUUCCUCACUGCCAAUCACGGCAUCAGAAACCGCCCUCUCCGUGGCGUCUGCUGAUUCCACUUUGAAAACUUCCCCAUUUAUCACCGCCGCGAGAGAUCCUGCCGAGACCGCUGGAGCCUGCUGCUUGUCAACAGGGCACCUUAUCUUCUCCAAACAUUUACUUAACCCUUUGUCUCGCGGGUGGGGAACAAUGGGAGCCCGGUGCGGCCCCACCAACCUCCCACACCAAAGCUGCUGCAGAGCACGGUGUGCCAACCUCCAUGCCAGCAGGAAGGUUGCUCACAAUGUGGGAAGAGGAGAAGCUGUUUGUGGGUGCUCCCUGGUAGGCACGCAGGUACAAAGAACUUUCCUAGCAAUAAGGACCCACCAUCUGUAACUCAAAAUGGCUCCUAAAUCAGGACGUACAAUUGCAGAGUCCUUAAGGCUGGAGAAGAACCUUGAGAUCCCCAAGCUCAACACAGCCCACCCCACCGUGCCCUCUGCCCACAUCCCUCAGUGCCACAUCUCCAUGGUUCCUGAACACCUCCAGGGAUGGUGACCUCACCACCUCCCUGGGCAGCCGUGCCACUGCAUCACUGCUCAUUCUAUGAAGCAAUUGUUCCUUGUACCAAACCAGACAGAAUAGGUACAGCUUCACUUAAGGACACGAUACCACCUUCAGAGGUGGUAGUUAACGCUGUGCAGAGUUCUAAAGAAAAUUUUCUAUGAUCCUCAUUGCCACUGUAAGUGGAAAGCUGGAUGUGUCUUCACUGAAGAACUCAUGGCAGAGCAAGCGUUUUGUUUUUAUAAAAGCAGGUGAUUGGUUUUGGAGAAUUUUGCUUCGGUGCAGCAAGUGAACCAGCACUACAGGUUUCCACUGAGAGAUGGGUCAGACCUCUCUGACAAGAAAAUGAGGUCUCAACUCUUGACCUUCAGUGCAGCAGCUCGGAGGCUGGCUCUUUGUCAUGGCUGGUGACAUGCAUGCACUGCUCACAGUUACCUGCGACCAUAAGGAUCCAAUGGGGUUGUGGCAGAAAACUGCUGUGUUUUUGAAAUGCAUGAAGAACUCCAAGACUCACUUCCUAAUAAAAACCCAAGCAAAAAACCACUGUGAUCUUCCCACCAAUUCCAGCAGGCUUUGGAACACGAUAUUCCUGUUAACCCAAGCCCAACCCUCAGCAGCCCCACUGUGGGUGAUGGCAGAUACAGAGGCAAUACACAGGAAUGCAGAGGGGCAAAACACCAUCAGAAACCAGGGGACAUACAGACAAAAGCUCACAGCUCAGCGUUACCAGUUACAAACAACCCUCAUUGCUGCUCAGCAGCUGCACUGAGGACAGUAAUAAAUGGCUGCGUGUUUGAAGCUGAGUUUUACGUCUUUGCAUUGUCACUGCAAUGCUUUGUGCUGUUAUCUAUGACAAGAGCUGGGAGUUCACAUCUUUAUCUAUGAACAAAGACUCACAGAUCGUGGCAGCAUUUGGCAGUAUGACAGCCUCAGGGAAGUUGGAAUACAGUCAGCAAAACAGCUCCUCUGUCACAGCAGCGGUGGCAGAGAGGGGCUUUGUCCCAGAAUGGGUGAUGAGGUUCUCCAAAGCGUUUUAAUUAACUGCCCUUCAUGUACUUGCUUAGCAGAGCUGGCAGUGAGCUUGAUAUAUCUUUCUAUGUUUGUGAGUACUCUAGCAAGUACCGCUACCCAGGUGCUGCCCCUAAGCCAUUUGGGGAGAGUAUAGGAAGGGAUAAGUAAGAACUUUGCAUUUCUGAGUCAUGUAUGCGUCACAUCUAUACUGCCACUUCUUUCACUUAGCUACAUACUUAAUUAAGCACUUACUCACAGCCUUGGGGUCAGCCUGAGGACAGGGUUCCUCUGUUCUUAACUCCUGUGCCACCUAACAAAGCUGAGAAUCCUUUCUGAGGAGAACGAUUAUUCAUUCAGCGUUCAUUCAUUCAUUCAUUCAUUCAGCACCCAGUGUUGCACAAUAUGAAGUGCUACUGCUGGCAAGCGACUCACACCCCAUUUGUGUGACGUCUGGCAGGCAGGGAGCCUUGGGGACACCACACACACAGGCACAGACCUUCAGUAAGAGAAGGGACUCCUUCAAAUACAGCUCAAGGUGUGGCUGUACAUCUAUAUUCUCCCAGCACAUGGGAACACAAAAGGCACAAGAGAUGUUACCAACCACUCCAGAGCAGAGCUGAGGGCAUUGCUGUAGGACAGGGGACCAGGAGCAGCCAGUAUGUCAUCAACACAUGCACAUCAUGGAGACCUUCAGGACUGGAGAGUCCAGGCUGGAUGUAGCUCUGGGCAGCCUGGCCAAGUGCUUGGCAACCCUGCACAUAGCAUGGGGUUGAAACUGGAUGAUCAUUGUGGUCCUUUUCAACCCAGGCCAUUCUAUGAUUCUGUGAUUCUAUGAUUCUGUGAUACUAUGAUACUAUGAUAAGAUAGGUCAAAAGAAUGGUGUCAUUUUAAGUGACAUCUGAGAAAAUAAAGCACCCAUCAUUAUUCAUCUGCUGAAAGACAAACAAAAAGAUCCAGGAUGUGAGUGGGUCAGAUAUCUUUGGAUCUAGGAGGAGCUCUUUAUAAGGAAAGAAACUAGAUUUGGGUAUAGCUUGUACAGCAUUUAUCGUUAGAAGUGCUACAGGAAUGUGACCUAUAUUUAGCCAACAUACCUUAAACUACAGAAGACUCUACCGUGUAACUCAUGGCUCCCAUUUCCUCAUGGUCUUACUGAGAAAGGCUCCCUGGACCCACCAGACAUCUGAUGUGUUCCAUUGCUAGUGAGGACAGUUCUGGCAUGGAGCACAUACUGUUUUGCUUUCACAGAGCGUUCCUGGACUGACUGAAGUGGCUGUCAUGCUGCAGUGCAUGCUUUCUCCAAGUUAAGUGGCAUUCCCAGACCCUUGGCAGAAGACGACACAUUUCUCCUGGGGUGGAAAGAUUUGGAGGAAAGCCCCGAGCACUUUGGCAGAGCCAGUGGGAUACCUGGCAAAGCUCACUCAGCACUGCCUGCCCUCGCUCCAUCCCAUGUUACCUUCCCUGUGAUAACGGGAGCCCGGGUCCCAGCAGGGAAAAAAGGAAUGAUAUCAAUCUUCAGCAAAGGGAAAGACAGCACCUUCCAGCUGGAUGAGCCUCAUAGUCCUGUGUCUGGUUGAGGUUCAGGGGGGACAGUCCACAGUUCUAGGUCACCAAUGGAAGUAGGGUAGCACAAUGAUAUGUUCCUGAUGAGCAUGGGGUGUUCAACACACAUAAGGCAGAGCUGUCAUGGCACACUAAGUUGCUACACUGCCUUUCCAUCAGCACAACCAAGAUUUUAAGAGCAACUCCAGAACAUGUUUUUUACUCCAGCCCACUCACGAUGGGCAGAUGUAUGAUGAUGGCAACAUCCUUCAGCAACAUCCUUCAACAUCAUUCAGGCUAGAUGGUGCUCUGAGCACACUGACUGAGCUGUAGAUGUCCCUGUUCAUUGUAGAGGAGUUGGAACAGAUGGCCUUUAACGGCCCCUUCCAACUCAAAAGAUUCUGUGAUCCUAAAUCACCAGUCAGACCUACUUGGACUCAGCUUUACCCCCUUUGCUGGUGGCUCUAACAGAUCACAUAUGCUUUCUUAAAUGUGUCUACUUACUUAAGUGCUUUGCACUGCUUUCACAGAAAUCAGACAUCAGUGUUGGGCUGACAGCACACCCAAAUCUUUGCUGCUGUUCAGCAGAUACAGUUUGUUCAGCUGAAGUGAUUCAGCCACGCACCUGAGCUCCAAACGGUAGUGCUGAAGAUAAGGAAACUCGCUUGGGAUCAUGAGAAGUACUCACAGGAGUUCUGGAGGAGGUGUGCUGAAGAUGUAGGUCUGUGCAGAGCUCCCCUGCCUCACCUUGGUUCUGCAACCUGUAAGGAGAUUGAAACAUUAUUGGCUAUGGAAUGGUUGACAGGACAGGGCUGCUCCCAGCUCAUUGAGCCCCAGGCAUGAAGGGAGCCGAGCCUCGGGCUGCCUGACUUGAGCCCUGACCCCCGUAAGCAGCCUGUCCUCAUCAGAGGUUUGGGAACAGGCCCAUCCUCAUUCAAACCCGCUUUGUUAGAGAGGAACUUCUCCAACAGAUAGAAGCUUCCGGUGGCAGGAAUGUUUUAUUCAUAAUUAGCGAUUUUUCAUUUAUCGGCACUUCCAUGAAGUGGAUCCAAUCUGCAGAGAAUCUGGCUAGAAGGGUGUAAAAACAUUUCAAGCUCCUGCACUUUUAUUCAUUUAACAUUUUUCCAGACACUCUUCCCAGCCCUUACUCAUGUCGUUCCCCUACCCGUCACAGCCUUCUUUUAGGCAUAAUAUUGUUAUCUAUUACUUUAAUCCCAAAAUGGUGAGGGAGUGCUACAUGGAAAAAAAAAUAAUGGGAAAUGGUCCCAGCAAAUGGAGUUAAGGAGAGAUAGG
rnacentral:lncRNA from 1 species